rnacentral:rRNA from 1 species
AAGUUGCGCUAAUACCGCAUACGAUCUAAGGAUGAAAGCGGGGGAUUCGCAAGAACCUCGUGCUCCUGGAGCGGCCGAUAUCUGAUUAGCUAGUUGGUGGGGUAAAGGCCUACCAAGGCAUCGAUCAGUAGCUGGUCUGAGAGGACGACCAGCCACACUGGAACUGAGACACGGUCCAGACUCCUACGGGAGGCAGCAGUGGGGAAUUUUGGACAAUGGGCGCAAGCCUGAUCCAGCAAUGCCGCGUGAGUGAAGAAGGCCUUCGGGUUGUAAAGCACUUUUGUCAGGAACGAAACGGUUCGGGCUAAUAUCCUGGGCUAAUGACGGUACCUGAAGAAUAAGCACCGGCUAACUACGUGCCAGCAGCCGCGGUAAUACGUAGGGUGCAAGCGUUAAUCGGAAUUACUGGGCGUAAAGCGUGCGCAGGCGGUUGUGCAAGACAGAUGUGAAAUCCCCGGGCUUAACCUGGGAAUUGCAUUUGUGACUGCACGGCUAGAGUGUGUCAGAGGGGGGUAGAAUUCCACGUGUAGCAGUGAAAUGCGUAGAUAUGUGGAGGAAUACCGAUGGCGAAGGCAGCCCCCUGGGAUAACACUGACGCUCAUGCACGAAAGCGUGGGGAGCAAACAGGAUUAGAUACCCUGGUAGUCCACGCCCUAAACGAUGUCUACUAGUUGUCGGGUCUUAAUUGACUUGGUAACGCAGCUAACGCGUGAAGUAGACCGCCUGGGGAGUACGGUCGCA